UUUCUCUUGAAUUCUGUGGGUGCUUAUAGGU
rnacentral:piRNA from 1 species